CAAGUCCAGCAGUGGAACCACGUCGAAUUGCAAACUUGAAGAAGCCACUUUAAAGUGGCCCGGACU
rnacentral:tRNA from 1 species